rnacentral:rRNA from 1 species
CCUACGGGUGGCAGCAGUCGAGAAUCAUUCACAAUGGGGGAAACCCUGAUGGUGCGACGCCGCGUGGGGGAAUGAAGGUCUUCGGAUUGUAAACCCCUGUCAUGUGGGAGUAAAUUAAAACGAUAGUACCACAUGAGGAAGAGACGGCUAAAUCUGUGCGAGCAGCCGCGGUCAUACAGAGGUCUCAAGCGUUGUUCGGAAGCACUGGGCGUGAAGUGUGCGUAGGUUGUUUCGUAAGUGGUGUGGGAAAGGGUGGGGCUCAACCCGUGGACGGCACCUGAAACUGGGAGACUAGAGUAAUGGAGGGGUAGCCGGAAUUCGCGGUGUAGCAGUGAAAUGCGUAGAGAUCG